UGCCACUAUGUUCACAGGCUUCUCAAAACAAUACAUUUACCAAAAGGUUGCAAUUUAGUUUUUUAUUUUUAAUGUAUUAUUUGCCACCGUCCCUCAAAUACUUAGCUACGCCCCUGAUUCAAACGUGCAGAGCGCAGUUCGCGCUCAGUCUGUCUGACACACCCACACACACAGUCUGCAGCGUCGCGGUGGCUCUGUAGUGUGCAAACCAACUGGAGAGACUGAGCUGUCCCAGGGCAUCUGAAGGAUUCCAUGAUGCGUCUGGUGGAGCCAAUCCUCAUGUCCAUGGGACCUGUCCCCAUGUCUCUCAUGCUCCUGUACUCUCCUGGCCUCAGGUAGAGCAUCCUGCCUUUGAAGCUGGGCUGCUCGUACAGCAGCCAAUGGCCGUCCAUCACGUGAACAGACUGGCAGUCGGACAUGCGGUAACGCUCCUGUAUGGAGUCACAGUCGUCCAUCAGCUCAUUCAUCUGGCCACUGAAGUUCUCCCGCUCAUAGAUCCUCAUUCUGAAAGGACCUCUGUGCUGUGUGGGGAUACACAGUUACUUUCAGGAAUCCUACAGUAAGGAGCGGAUGCAGUCACUCAUGCUCAUUCCCAUAAGCCGCUGGUUGUCAGGGUACUCUCCUCGUCUCACCAGCAUCUGGUGGCCCAUGAAGUUUGGACGUUCGUAGACCAUGAAGCAGCCACUCUCCACCCUGCAAGAGUUGCAGCAGCUCAGAAUCCUGGACCCAAGCCCGAGAACCUCCGAGCCGGUCCUCAAACUAGGACAUUCCAACCUGCCAGCACUUCCUCUG